UACAGAGGGUGCGAGCGUUAAUCGGAAUUACUGGGCGUAAAGCGUGCGCAGACGGUCAUGUAAGUCGGGUGUGAAAGCCCCGGGCUCAACCUGGGAAUUGCAUUCGAGACUGUGUGGCUAGGGUGCGGAAGAGGGAAGCGGAAUUUCCGGUGUAGCGGUGAAAUGCGUAGAUAUCGGAAGGAACACCAGUGGCGAAAGCGGCUUCCUGGUCCAGCACCGACGUUCAGGCACGAAAGCUAGGGGAGCAAACGGG
rnacentral:rRNA from 1 species